GAUGAACGCUGGCGGCGUGCCUAAUACAUGCAAGUCGAGCGAACAGACGAGGAGCUUGCUCCUCUGACGUUAGCGGCGGACGGGUGAGUAACACGUGGAUAACCUACUUAUAAGACUGGGAUAACUUCGGGAAACCGGAGCUAAUACCGGAUAAUAUAUUGAACCGCAUGGUUCAAUAGUGAAUGACGGUUUUGCUGUCACUUAUAGAUGGAUCCGCGCCGCAUUAGCUAGUUGGUAAGGUAACGGCUUACCAAGGCUACGAUGCGUAGCCGACCUGAGAGGGUGAUCGGCCACACUGGAACUGAGACACGGUCCAGACUCCUACGGGAGGCAGCAGUAGGGAAUCUUCCGCAAUGGGCGAAAGCCUGACGGAGCAACGCCGCGUGAGUGAUGAAGGUCUUCGGAUCGUAAAACUCUGUUAUUAGGGAAGAACAAAUGUGUAAGUAACUAUGCACGUCUUGACGGUACCUAAUCAGAAAGCCACGGCUAACUACGUG
rnacentral:rRNA from 1 species